AUACAAAAGUAUAAAAAACAACAACUGUUUUUCUUUGGAUAAGUCGUUAUCACAAACUUUGGUCAGGGCGUGAGCGACUUCUUUUUAUUUGUUU
rnacentral:antisense_RNA from 3 species